rnacentral:rRNA from 1 species
AGAACGAACGCUGGCGGCAUGCCUAACACAUGCAAGUCGAACGCCUGUAGCAAUACAGGAGUGGCGCACGGGUGAGUAACGCGUGGGAACCUACCCUGGAGUGGGGGAUAACCGAGAGAAAUUUCGGCUAAUACCGCAUACGACCUGAGGGUGAAAGAUUUAUCGCUCUAGGAGGGGCCCGCGUCGGAUUAGCUAGUUGGUGGGGUAACGGCCUACCAAGGCAACGAUCCGUAGCUGGUCUGAGAGGAUGAUCAGCCACACUGGGACUGAGACACGGCCCAGACUCCUACGGGAGGCAGCAGUGGGGAAUAUUGGACAAUGGGGGCAACCCUGAUCCAGCAAUGCCGCGUGAGUGAUGAAGGCCUUAGGGUUGUAAAGCUCUUUCGGCGGGGACGAUGAUGACGGUACCGCAGAAGAAGCCCCGGCUAACUUCGCGCCAGCAGCCGC